GGUGAACGCUGGCGGCAGGCCUAACACAUGCAAGUCGAACGGACCCUUCGGGGUUAGUGGCGGACGGGUGAGUAACACGUGGGAACGUGCCCUUUGGUUCGGAACAACUCAGGGAAACUUGAGCUAAUACCGAAUGUGCCCUUCGGGGGAAAGAUUUAUCGCCAUUGGAGCGGCCCGCGUCUGAUUAGCUAGUUGGUGGGGUAAUGGCCUACCAAGGCGACGAUCAGUAGCUGGUCUGAGAGGAUGAUCAGCCACAUUGGGACUGAGAUACGGCCCAAACUCCUACGGGAGGCAGCAGUGGGGAAUCUUGCGCAAUGGGCGAAAGCCUGACGCAGCCAUGCCGCGUGAAUGAUGAAGGUCUUAGGAUUGUAAAAUUCUUUCACCGGGGACGAUAAUGACGGUACCCGGAGAAGAAGCCCCGGCUAACUUCGUGCCAGCCGCCGCCGUAA
rnacentral:rRNA from 1 species